rnacentral:rRNA from 1 species
ACUCCUACGGGAGUGCAGCAUUGGGAAUNUUGCGAACAAGUGGGGAAACCUGAUGCAGCCAUGCCGCGUGUGUGAAGAAGGCCUUCGGGUUUGAUAAAGCACUUUCAGUAGGGAGGAAGGUAGUGUAGUUAACACCUGCAUUAUUUGACGUUACCUACAGAAGAAGCACCGGCUAACUCCGUGCCAGCAGCCGCGGUAAUACGGAGGGUGCGAGCGUUAAUCGGAAUUACUGGGCGUAAAGCGCAUGCAGGCGGCCUGUUAAGUCAGAUGUGAAAGCCCGGGGCUUAACCUCGGAAUUGCAUUUGAAACUGGCAGGCUAGAGUCUUGUAGAGGGGGGUAGAAUUUCA